UGAAAGAAGGUGACCGAGCCAAGAGGAGAGAGCACAGAUGGCUUGGUGGUGGUAUGGUGUGGUGAGUUGUGGGGAGGAGGCGAGGGGGUCUGGAAGAGGUUGGGGGUGGGUGGAAUGAGGAACCCUGUUUUCCGUUUGGUUUGCUGUGGAUGAAGGAGGGGGGUGGUGGGGAAAGAAGUGAGACAGAUGGCAGAGUGGAGAGGCGGCAGCCAGUGCCGGCACUGCCCAGCCUGGGCGGACCCAGCUCUUCCCCCCCCCCACCCCCCCACCCCCCUGCCUGCCAGCUUUCCAAAUGCCACCCUUCCCCCAUCCUCCCCUCUUCCCAUCCCCCCAGCUUGGCACUGAUCUCUGAGAGAGAGGGAGGGAGGCUGGGCAAAGAGCAUCUGUUCCCUCCAUUCUCCCUGCUCUAUCAGCUGCCAACCUAGGGCCAUCGUCUGCCUCCAUCACCCCUCCGCCCGCCUGCCCGCCCGCCUACCCACCCAAUCCCAAACGGGUGCUGGAUCAGGUGCCGAAUCUGGCUGCCUCCUCGGGUAUACCCGUCACUAUGCAUUGCUGUGUGUCUGCCACCGCUGCCUGGCACUCAUGGGGCCGUGUGUGUGUAUGUGUGUGUGUGUGUGUGUGUGUGCGCAUGUACAUGUACGCAUAAGCGCGUGCUGUAUGUGAGCCUCCUGGGCAUGGGUGGGGGGUUGGCACUGCGGUUGCCAAUCUAGUGUCCAGAAGGACAGAGGGAUGGAGGGGAAGAAGGAGGGGAGAGGUGCGGGGCCCGGGAGGGCAGAACAGGGUGCAUGGGUUGCUUCGUGCUGCCUGCUUCCAGGCAUUGGCACUGCAGCUGCCACCCUCGUGCCCGCGGAGAUGGGAGGAGGCGAAUGGGGAGGGGGGCGGCAGUAGGAGUACUGGUGCUCUGAGAGGAAGGAUCGCUACCUGGGAACCAUUGGCAUCACACCCAUCAUGCUGGUGCUCCGAGCUGGGGCAGUGGGAACAGGGGCCCCAGGAGGCAGAGAGGAGGGGCAGGGGGAUGUUAAUGAUCUUGCUGUCCCUCUGGAGCUCAGCUCUGAGAAACGGUUGGACUAGGAGGUAGUCAGCCUUCUUCCAGUCUGGGAAAGUAAAGUGGUGGAAAGAGUAGCCAGGGAAGUGCCAAGAAAGUGUCUAAGAGCCAGAAGGAGGGACCGUGCCACUGCUCCCUGGGGAGAGCUCCUCGGGGCUGGCAGUCUGGCCCUUUGUGAAAAGCAAGGGGACACGGGCAUGCGGCUGUGGGUGCUGGCACUGCCUGAGGAGGCUGGCACAGGCUCUAGCAUUGUGUGGAAGGAAGAAGGGGGGCAGUGCCUCUUGCCAAUCUGCUUGAGAGGGUGGCUGUGCCAGGAGUGAGAAGGGAGGUGAGAUGUUGGGGUGUAUGUGUGUGUGUGUUUAUGAAUUGUUUGGGAGAACAGACUUUUUUCUGCCAGGACCUCCUUCCUGUUCCCUCUUAGGCAUGGGGAGUGGAGCAACAGACCGAGAGAGGCGUGAGGACACAAAGGAGGACGUGCGCCAUUGCCAAGACCCCAAGGAAAGAAGGAUGGAGAGCGCUGGCAGUCCUAUUUGGCCCCCGGCCAGUUUCCUGCUGAAGAUGGCCAAAUCCUCCUGCCUGGUCUGUUGUCACAGUGCAGAGGAAUGGAGUCCUUUCCCCAUGGAUUGCAGCAUUUGGUCACCCUUCCUCUGGUUACAUUUCCCCUGUUCGUAUUUUAUUCUCACCUACUGUAGGAUUGAAGGAAAUGAAUAUGUCCUGGAGGCUGGUUGUACUUACGGGAAGUGUAGGUCCCUACACGGGCCUCUGUGCCCAUGGGGCCCAUCCUUGCUGGCAUGUGUGUACCCCCACGGCACUCUCCGUGGCUCUACUAGCUUCUGAUGGCAUGCAUGCUUGUUUCAUUGGUGCAGUCAUAUACACAGAGCUCUGUAUUUCAGAUGUGAUUUUCUAUACAGGGAUGAAUGAUUAGAUGAGAAGAUGUGCAUUAAAACAACCAGGCUGGUGGAGGUUUGGGAAAUUGGCGAUCUGAACUAUAAGCCCUCUACGUGGCUAAGGAACAAAUAGAUGGAAUUAAGCAGAUGGGUGCUAUUGGGUGUGGAAUACUGGCUUUCUUGGUUCCUGUGCAUGUUUCUGUAAGGAUACUCCCAAGGACUAGGGGGUUGAGGGAAGAGGGGUUUCUUUUUUCUGGCCCUACUGCAGAUUCUGCCCCAUUUGGCUGCUAUAGCUUUAGAUUUUUCUCAUAUUCUAGUUGAGAAUGGAGUACCUGAACCCAUCCCCACAUGAUUCUGGUUUAGAGUAACUACAGCCAAGCUCCCAUCCACCUCCUGUCUCCUGGUACUGAUCCUAACAGUAAGUAGGCUGGACCAGAAUUUGGACACCUUAGAGCCCAUGUAUGUUAGAAACCGUAGUUCUUUGCCCCAGGCUGUGGAAGACCAAUGGUAGAAGCCAAGGAUUCAAGCUCACUUUAGGGUUGUUGGGGUGGGGCCUGUGUUACAGAAUAGGUGUGGAUAUGCUAGGCAUUUAAGUUGGGUCUGCUGCUCCCCAGGAGAAGCAGCAGGGUUUACCCAGGGUGACCUGGUGUUUGCCUCUAGUAUUCUGCAUGGGGCCUGAUGACCUGGCCUUUCUUCCACCAGAACGGCCCGCUGAGCGUGGCUGCCGGGGACUUUUGGUCUGAGAAUUGGGUUGGGGAGGAAGGCUUCCAGCCACUGGGAAUGGCAUACCUAACUCUACCUUCAGGCAGGCUCUUGUCUCUCAAAUUACAGGGCUCCUGGUAAGGACAGUGGCUUAGUGUCAGCUCCCAUCCCCUACUGUGCACUUAUGCCUUGUCUCUAGACCAGGGUGUCCCCAUGUAAGAAAACGUGCCAGAGGGCAAGAGGAGGCACAAGAGGGAUUUCUGGCUAUGUUAAUUCCUGGUAAAAAUAUUCACAAUUCAAAUGACAGCAACCUGUCCUAGUUGUAAACUCCUAAAAAUGCAUGACACCUCACCUCUAAUCAUCCUGUACCAGGCAUUUGCCCCAGUUUUCUUUUAAAAUGUUUCUUCUUUCCCUCCUAUCUUUUCUUCUAAUUUUGUGUUUGUUUUCAACUUUUACACACAAGUCACAUUCCCUGAAAGCACAGAGUGAAAAAGCUUCUUUCCAUCUACACAUGCUGCUAAGAAAAUAAUUUUAUACACAGUUUCAGUGGGAAAAGAAAAGGAUAGGAAGGGAGGGACACAGGAGAGAGGUGAGAGAUGGGAAGGGUGGCGGCAAGAACGAGAGUGUGGUGGGGCCUGCAUUUGUAACUGGUGUCACUGGAAGGACUCUUUGUACCCUACCCUGGUUUGCUAGAGUUCGAGCUCUUAACUUUAGAAAUGCAUUGGGAAGUGAGGUUCACAGAACAUGUGGGCACUAGGGACUUGGCUGAUUUUCCCUCCCCCUUUCUCCCAUCUUUUUGGCACAUAAGCCUCUGCUUUGGUAUUAACAUGUUCACAUGGCAGAGCAACAGGCCAGGAAGUGGAAAUCCCAGGGCUGACUGAACUGUGUGCACACAUAUUAAAUGGACGAGGGUAGUGGAAGAAGCCCCAAGGGAGAAAGUUUGCAAUACCUUGAGAGGGGAGGUCUCCUGGACAAGGGUGGUAGCAGAAACUGUCUGGAGGACUGGGAACUUUUGCAGGCUUUUCUUUGCCAAAAUAAAACACCUGCUUUUAGACCUUGUGCCACUGUAGCUGGGCUUUGGGAUCACCGGUUCCCAUCUGAUGCUGGCAGAAACAAUGUUAGAGGUGGGGAACCCUCUUCUAGCCCAUUCCUUUUUCAUUGGUUUCCCUUGGUGAUAGCAUUCUGUCAGAUUCGCCUUGUGCUUUGGUCAUUGCCUAGCCCACCCACCCCCUGAGCCUCCUGGGACAGCCUCUUGACUGGGUGGUCCUCCCAGCAGCUGCUGCUUGCUGGUAGGAGGAAGGGCAAGGGCAAAGGAGGAAGGAAGAACAUAGGUGGGAAAUAAAGGUCCCCACAAAGGCAAGGAUUUCAAGUGACCAGGAAUGUGAAGGGGACACUGGACAUGGAAAUAGAAGUUGGGGUUCGUGAAAGAAGCAAAUGAGAGGGAGCAGUGGUUAACUGUAGGAAAGGGAGGCAUACCUGAGAUUCAGAAACCAUAAUAUCCUGUCCACCCACCUCUUUCUUCCUGGGACUGCCAAGAUACAUUUGGCAACACUGACUUUCCUAACUAGUGACUGGGAAUAAAGAGGUGUUAGCAGUCCUGAUAUUCAGUUCAGAGGGCAAAGGUAGGUCUCUCCGUCUCCAGGCUCUUCUCCCCAUGGCCAGCUCUGGCCUCGGAACCUGGGCUGGCUAGGGUCAGGCUGCACAGCUUUCUGUCCCAAGGAUCACCAUACCCAUGCAAGGACUUAAAAGCCAUUUGCUCUUCCCAAGACUAGUAGUUUAAAGAAACCCUUAACAUGGGGGAAAAUGGACACAAAUGGGGGGGA